UACGUAGGCAGCGAGCGUUGUUCGGAGUUACUGGGCGUAAAGAUUGCGUAGGCGGUUUUCUAAGUUUGGUGUGAAAUCUCCCGGCUCAACUGGGAGGGUGCGCCGAAGACUGGAAGGCUUGAGUAUGGGAGAGGUAAGCGGAAUUCCUGGUGUAGCGGUGAAAUGCGUAGAUAUCAGGAGGAACACCUGCGGUGUAGACGGCUUACUGGACCAUAACUGACGCUGAGGCACGAAAGCGUGGGUAGCAAACAGG
rnacentral:rRNA from 1 species